UUAGCUAUUACAUGUAAAGAUAACUAUCAUAUGACUAAGGAAAGCUCCCUGGAUUUUCCUAAGCAAGUAUCUUCUCUCCUUGGCUUCACUACAAGGAGAAGAUGGCAUCAGAGUAUAACGUAUUUCUCAACGCAUGCCUAAAAAACAGUCAUUCACCAUCCUGGUUAGAUAUAAGAAUCACCUGCAAAGUUCUUUCUAAAAAUAUAGGGUUUCUGUAUCUGAUAAAUCAGAACUUUUAGGGAAUGGGAGUGGGAGGGCUUAAAAAUUCUCUCAAGUAAUUCUAAUGCAUAUAAGAAUUGAUUAUGAGUCACUAGAUUCUAGAAGAAGAGAGGUCUCUUACUCUGUGAAAGACAGAGGCAGAAAGAGGAAGUCACCUUGUGAUAAUCUGGUCAUUGGGAAAGGCACAGAGAUAAGUCGAGCUAUACUUCUUACAUUAAAUACAUUUUCGUGGAUGUUUGAUGAGGGGCCAGAAAGUGUUACCCAAUGAACCUCCAUGGUACCAAAUACAAUCAAGCUUGUCCCAGGUUUCUACUGUACAAUUUCUCAUUGAAAACUGCCUCAGCAUUUUUUAAGAAGACAUCACUUCCCCCUUGGGGAAGAAAGAACUCAAUGACUUGAAGAAACUGAUGCUUCAGGUACCUUGAAAAAUUCAGCUGGUUUUGAUGAGAAACAGUCAAUGGGGCUGUUAGGGGUCCUGGCGGAUGCUUAGGCAGUGGCUGUCCUGGAUUCCAGGGAAUGCCCCAAACCCAGUGAUGCAGGACCCAGGACUCCAUCUGCUCAUUCUUCAUAAGGUUGGCUCACAGGUCAUCUGCUGAGAAGGUCAUCUUCUCCGUCUUCACUGGGCUCACUGAAUGAGGACAUUCCAAGAUCCCAGCUCAUCUCAUUUGAGCUUUCCUUUUCCUAAUCCCAUGCAUCUGUGUUUGAGAAAAUCUUCCCAAGUGAUAGAUCUUCUAUUUUCCGAUUUCUUCCAUGUUGUAUUACUUUUUUUAUUAAUAAUAAUAAAUACACAUAUUUUUGGUGUGUACAUGCAUAUUAGUCUGUUUCGUG
rnacentral:lncRNA from 1 species